AUGAAUAAGUUCUCUGGUAAUAUUCCUAAGGCCCUUGGUAGCAUAGGAAGCUUGCAGGAAUUGUACCUAGCACAUAACAACUUGUCAGGGACAAUCCCAUUAGUACUACAGAAUUUGAUAUCAUUGAACAAAUUGGAUAUAUCCUUCAAUAAUUUGCAAGGCGAGGUGCCAAACGAAGGUGUUUUCAGAAACAUCACUUACUUAGCAGUUGCUGGCAAUGUGAAUUUGUGUGGUGGUACAUCUCAACUUCACCUGGCUCCAUGCUCCACAAGGAAGAACAAUAAAAGGAUGUCAAAGUCUCUUGUAAUUUCUCUAGCAACCUUUGGAGUAAUCGUGUUCUCUCUAUCAGUUAUUCUUCUUCUUUGGAUAUUGUGCAAGAAACUCAAACCAAGCCAGAAGAUAUUGGCACGAAAUUCAAUUGUAGAUGACCGGUACGAGAGAAUCCCCUAUCAUGCAUUACUGAGGGGAACUAACGGAUUUUCAGAAGUCAACUUGCUUGGGAGAGGAAGUUAUGGUGCGGUUUAUAAGUGUGUUUUGGACAAUGAAGAAAGAACAUUGGCUGUCAAGGUGUUUAACCUUGGUCAAUCUAGGUAUUCAAAGAGUUUUGAGGCUGAAUGUGAGGCUAUGAGAAGGAUACGACACCGUUGUCUCAUUAAGAUCAUUACUUCUUGUUCUAGCAUCAACCAGCAAGGUCAAGAGUUCAAGGCAUUGGUUUUUGAAUUCAUGCCCAAUGGUAACUUGGAUAGCUGGCUUCAUCAACCAUCUGAAGAUCCCACUACAAACAACACGCUCGGCCUUGCCCAGAGGCUUGAUAUUGCUGUCGAUAUUGUGGACGCAGUAGAAUAUUUGCACAACUACUGUCAGCCCUUGGUAAUCCACUGUGAUCUUAAGCCAAGCAACAUUCUUCUUGCUGAAGACAUGAGCGCCCGGGUUGGAGACUUUGGCAUAUCAAGGAUCCUUCAAGAAAAUACAAGUGAGGCGAUGCAAACUUCAUAUGGCUCAACUGGACUUAGAGGUUCCAUAGGCUAUGUUGCUCCAGAGUAUGGAGAAGGCUCCGCAGUCUCUACAGCUGGUGAUAUUUAUAGCCUUGGCAUAUUGCUUCUUGAGAUGUUUACGGGAAGAAGCCCAACAGAAGGCACGUUCGGAGAUUCAUUGGGUCUGCAUAAGUUUGUCGAGGAUGCUCUUCCAGAUAGAACCAUGGAGAUAGUUGACCCGACAAUGUGGUUGCACAGCGGACCACACAAUAAUACUACAAUUAUUAGAAUUCAGGAGUUAUUGGUUUUAGUCUUGAGACUUGGCAUAUCCUGCUCAAAGCAACAUCCUCGUGACCGAGCAUUGACAAGUGAUGCAACAUCGGAGAUGCACGCAAUCAGAGAUGUAUACCUCAAGUUCGUAGGGGAGCAUGGAGCAGAACCAGAAGCCUCGACUCAAGAAAUUCAGAGCAGCGUUGCAUAA
rnacentral:rRNA from 1 species